rnacentral:rRNA from 1 species
CCCUGGGCCUCAGGAUGAACGCUGGCGGCGUGCUUAACACAUGCAAGUCGAACGAAGCGAUUAGAGUGCUUGCACUUUGAUUGACUGAGUGGCGGGACGGGUGAGUAACGCGUGGGUAACCUGCCUCACACAGGGGGACAACAGUUGGAAACGACUGCUAAUACCGCAUAAGCGCACAGUAUCGCAUGAUACAGUGUAGAAAAACUCCGGUGAUAUAGGAUCGGACCCGCGUCUGAUUAGCUGGUUGGUGAGGUAACGGCCCACCAAGGCGACGAUCAGUAGCCGGCCUGAGAGGGUGACCGGCCACAUUGGGACUGAGACACGGCCCAAACUCCUACGGGAGGCAGCAGUGGGGAAUAUUGCACAAUGGGGGAAACCCUGAUGCAGCAACGCCGCGUGAGUGAAGAAGUAUUUCGGUAUGUAAAGCUCUAUCAGCAGGGAAGAAAAUGACGGUACCUGACUAAGAAGCCCCGGCUAACUACGUG